rnacentral:rRNA from 1 species
AUGCCAGCAUUAAGAUUUAAAACGUGUCGUCUACUUCCAGGAAAUGUUCGGAACAGAGAACUUUCUCUAAUCCAACGCCGUAUUCUCCGAAGAUUGAGGAACAAGAGGAGAUCCAUUAAAAGAAAUCUUUCUCGGAGAGAAAAUCUAAACAGUAACAUCAAAUCACAAACUACACGAAAGUUGUCUCUUUAUUAUGGGGAUUUACCCAUAAGGGAGAUGCACAGAGGAAGAGAACGAACUUCAUAUAUCCCUUUUUUACUCAAUCAAGAAACAAGAUCGGACGUGAUUCCGGUUCGUCUCCAUUUUAGUGACACUCUUCCUCAAGCAAGGCAGCCGAUAAGUCAUCGAAGGGUUUGUUUGAAUAAUGGACUGGUAACCAUUACUCAUUUGAAAGUUUCCCACGAUGAUCUAAUAUCUUUUAAAGAAAAUGACGCGAGAACCCGCAGUUUUGAAAUAAGGAGAUCUUUCUAUAUCGACAUAUCAGUUGCAAAAAUCAUAGGCAAAUUCCUAUCGGCCAUAUCAGUUGGAAAAAGAAGAGGCAAAUUCCUACCGGCCAGAAUCUGGAGAAGAACAAAAAAAGAAUGGUUCCGCUUACUCACAACUCAGAGGGGAUGCCGCUUACUACUCAAAUCCAAGGAAUUGCAAAAGUUGCGUUCUUAUAUGCAAGAAGAAGACUUUGAAAGAACAAAGAAGUUUGGAUCCGCAAAAGUAUGCUUAGGCAGUUCCUUCGCUGAGCACAACAGAAUGAAGAGGAAUUUGUUUCAUUUCAAAUACUUCUUCUUAUUGAAAAGAGGGAAGGAGAAAAACCGAAAUCUUCCUACUCGAACAAUAAGUCCUUUCGUAGAGAUACGUUAA